AUUUUCUCUAUAAAAUGGUUGGAGUUCUCUCCUCUUUUUUCUUAAAAAAACACAAUUUGCUGAAUGUACAAGGUAUAUCCAUUUUACUGUAGAUUUGGUAUAAGCAUGACAAAUUCAAUUGAGAUUUGAUUGAUUCUAAAAUGAGUGAAUUAUGGUAUAUUCGUAAAUGGAUCCAACCUGACUCUUAAUCCUCAAUAAUGAAAUGCACUACGUAG
rnacentral:lncRNA from 1 species